rnacentral:rRNA from 1 species
UACGUAGGUGACCAGCGUUGUCCGGAUUUACUGGGCGGAAAGAGCGCGCAGGCGGUCGUUCAAGUCGAGUGUGAAAGCCCCCGGCUCAACUGGGGAGGGUCACUCGAUACUGAUCGACUUGAAGGCAGGAGAGGGAAGCGGAAUUCCCGGUGUAGUGGUGAAAUGCGUAGAUAUCGGGAGGAACACCAGUGGCGAAGGCGGCUUCCUGGCCUGUUCUUGACGCUGAGGCGCGAAAGCUAGGGGAGCAAACGGG